rnacentral:rRNA from 1 species
AGUGAACGCUGGCGGUAGGCCUAACACAUGCAAGUCGAACGGCAGCACAGUAAGAGCUUGCUCUUACGGGUGGCGAGUGGCGGACGGGUGAGGAAUACAUCGGAAUCUACUUUUUCGUGGGGGAUAACGUAGGGAAACUUACGCUAAUACCGCAUACGACCUACGGGUGAAAGCAGGGGAUCUUCGGACCUUGCGCGAUUGAAUGAGCCGAUGUCGGAUUAGCUAGUUGGCGGGGUAAAGGCCCACCAAGGCGACGAUCCGUAGCUGGUCUGAGAGGAUGAUCAGCCACACUGGAACUGAGACACGGUCCAGACUCCUACGGGAGGCAGCAGUGGGGAAUAUUGGACAAUGGGCGCAAGCCUGAUCCAGCCAUACCGCGUGGGUGAAGAAGGCCUUCGGGUUGUAAAGCCCUUUUGUUGGGAAAGAAAAGCAGCAGGUUAAUACCCCGCUGUUCUGACGGUACCCAAAGAACAAGCACCGACUAACUUCGUG